GACGAACGCUGGCGGCGUGCUUAACACAUGCAAGUCGAACGGAAAGGCCCUGCUUUUGUGGGGUGCUCGAGUGGCGAACGGGUGAGUAACACGUGAGUAACCUGCCCUUGACUUUGGGAUAACUUCAGGAAACUGGGGCUAAUACCGGAUAGGAGCUCCUGCUGCAUGGUGGGGGUUGGAAAGUUUCGGCGGUUGGGGAUGGACUCGCGGCUUAUCAGCUUGUUGGUGGGGUAGUGGCUUACCAAGGCUUUGACGGGUAGCCGGCCUGAGAGGGUGACCGGCCACAUUGGGACUGGGGUACGGCCCAGACUCCUACGGGAGGCAGCAGUGGGGAAUAUUGCACAGUGGGAGGAAGCCUGAUGCAGCGACGCCGCGUGCGGGAUGACGGCCUUCGGGUUGUAAACCGCUUUCGCCUGUGACGAAGCGUGAGUGACGGUAAUGGGUAAAGAAGCACCGGCUAACUACGUG
rnacentral:rRNA from 1 species